AUGAAGCAGCAUGUGAAGCUAUUUGUUGAGGAGUGCCAAGUGUGCAAACAGGCGAAGCCGGAGCGUGUCCGCUACCCAGGAUUGUUGGAGCCACUGCCCGUGCCCAAACAGGCAUGGGAGCUCGUUACCAUGGACUUUGUUGAAGGGCUGCCACAAUCCUCUCGCUACAACAUUAUCCUGGUGGUCGUGGACAAGUUUUCACGGUACGCACACUUCAUUCCUUUGGUCCACCCAUUCACGGCGUUUCAAGUCGCUCAGGCCUUCGUGAACAACAUCUACAAGCUCCAUGGUCUGCCGGAGGCCAUCGUCUCGGAUCGAGACCCUAUCUUCACAAGCACCACGUGGAAGGAGAUGUUCAGACUAACUCACACAAAGCUGCGCAUGAGCACGGCACGACACCCGCAGACCGAUGGGCAGUCUGAGCGGGUGAACCAGUGCCUCGAGACGUACCUAAGGUGCUUUGUGCAUGCGUGCCCGUCCAAGUGGUCCUCGUGGCUGGCACUAGCAGAGUUCUGGUACAACACUUCCCCUCAUUCAGCAUUGGGGAUCUCUCCAUUUGAAGCUUUGUAUGGUCAUGCUCCACGGCAUUUCGGCAUCAUGGACCCGGUGGCAUGCGCUGCUCCGGACCUGCACGAUUGGCUACAAGAUCGUGCCCAGAUGGAGGCUUUGCUCCGACAACACCUGCUCCGCGCUCAGCAACAAAUGAAGGAGUCUACUGACAAGCAUCGGUCUGCAAGAACCUUCAACGUGGAUGACUGGGUGUUCCUCAAGAUUUAG
rnacentral:rRNA from 1 species